rnacentral:piRNA from 1 species
UAACGGAUUGUCACACUUAGACACAUCAGC